rnacentral:rRNA from 1 species
UACGUAGGGGGCAAGCGUUGUCCGGAUUUAUUGGGCGUAAAGAGCGUGUAGGCGGCCUGACAAGUCUGCUGUGAAAACUCGAGGCUCAACCUCGAGAUGUCGGCGGAAACUGUCUGGCUAGAGUCCGGAAGAGGAGAGUGGAAUUCCUGGUGUAGCGGUGAAAUGCGCAGAUAUCAGGAAGAACACCUAUGGCGAAGGCAGCUCUCUGGGACGGUACUGACGCUGAGGUGCGAAAGCGUGGGGAGCAAACAGG